GACGGAGGGUGCAAGCGUUGUUCGGAUUGACUGGGCGUAAAGGGCGUGUAGGCGGUUGGUCAAGUCGGGUGUGAAAGCCCGGAGCUCAGCUCCGGAAGUGCAUCCGAAACUAGCCAGCUAGAGCGCGAUAGAGGAGGGUGGAAUUCCUGGUGUAGCGGUGAAAUGCGUAGAUAUCAGGAGGAACACCGGCGGCGAAGGCGGCCCUCUGGAUCGUUGCUGACGCUGAGACGCGAAAGCUAGGGGAGCAAACAGG
rnacentral:rRNA from 1 species